AAGUCGUAACAAGGUAUCCGUAGGUGAACCUGCGGAUGGAUCAUUACCAAUUUUAUAUACUAGUUUGUGCAUCCCUGUUAAAGGGGGUCACACAACUAUUAUUGUAAACGUUGAACUAGAUCAAUUGGUGUGGAUUGCUUGGGAAUGGACGAAGCGACAAGCCUCUUCCGGACAGGCAAACCCCACACUGAUAACCCUUUUCAAUAUAUACUAUACUACUAGUACAUACUACAAACAAACAAACAAACAAAAGCUAUAAUAGGACUUAUAAACAGGCUGAGUGGGUAAAAUCCUCGGCUUAACCAAUAUAACUAUUACAACUUUCAGCAAUGGAUCUCUAGGCUCUC
rnacentral:misc_RNA from 1 species